rnacentral:rRNA from 1 species
UGACCUGCCCUCAGCUCUGGGAUAAGCCUGGGAAACUGGGUCUAAUACCGGAUAUGACCUUCUGUCGCAUGGCAGUGGGUGGAAAGUUUUUCGGCUGGGGAUGGGCCCGCGGCCUAUCAGCUUGUUGGUGGGGUGAUGGCCUACCAAGGCGACGACGGGUAGCCGGCCUGAGAGGGCGACCGGCCACACUGGGACUGAGACACGGCCCAGACUCCUACGGGAGGCAGCAGUGGGGAAUAUUGCGCAAUGGGCGAAAGCCUGACGCAGCGACGCCGCGUGGGGGAUGACGGCCUUCGGGUUGUAAACCUCUUUCGCCAUCGACGAAGCCUUUGGGUGACGGUAGGUGGAGAAGAAGCACCGGCCAACUACGUGCCAGCAGCCGCGGUAAUACGUAGGGUGCGAGCGUUGUCCGGAAUUAUUGGGCGUAAAGAGCUCGUAGGCGGUGUGUCGCGUCGGUCGUGAAAACUUGGGGCUUAACUCUGAGCUUGCGGUCGAUACGGGCAUCACUUGAGUUCGGCAGGGGAGACUGGAAUUCCUGGUGUAGCGGUGAAAUGCGCAGAUAUCAGGAGGAACACCGGUGGCGAAGGCGGGUCUCUGGGCCGAUACUGACG